CCUACGGGAGGCAGCAGUGAGGAAUAUUGGUCAAUGGCCGGAAGGCUGAACCAGCCAUGCCGCGUGAAGGUCAGUGCCCUAUGGGCGUUAAACUUCUUUUGUGCGGGAGCAAUAAUGGUCACGUGUGGCCAGACGAGAGUACCGUACGAAUAAGCAUCGGCUAACUCCGUGCCAGCAGCCGCGGUAAUACGGGGGAUGCAAGCGUUAUCCGGAUUUAUUGGGUUUAAAGGGUGCGUAGGCUGUGAGGUAAGUCAGCGGUGAAAUGCCCCCGCUCAACGGGGUGAAGUGCCAUUGAUACUGCCUGGCUGGAAUGCGGAUGCGGUGGGAGGAAUGUGGGGUGUAGCGGUGAAAUGCAUAGAUAUCACACAGAACACCGAUUGCGAAGGCAUCUCACGAAUCCGCGAUUGACGCUGAUGCACGAAAGCGUGGGUAUCAAACAGGAGUAGAUACCCCAGUAGUC
rnacentral:rRNA from 1 species